CCGCUGUAAAUUAUCAAAUCAGCAGAAAUCAAGCUGUUAAACGACUGGGUCGCUGUUGGAACCAGACAAGUUCCAGCCCACCCUGAACCCCUGACCCGGUCAAGAUCUGGACUCAAAGGAUAAAGGACUGCAGAGUAACGCCAGAGAAAAUAAUGAGGGAGGAAAACGGGCGCUGUGCAGAAUACUCAGAAACUGUCCUGCUGAUAUCAUGCAUCCAUCAAGGAAAGGAUGAGGG
rnacentral:lncRNA from 1 species